rnacentral:misc_RNA from 1 species
GAUGAAGAACGUAGCGAAAUGCGAUAAGUAGUGUGAAUUGCAGAAUUCAGUGAAUCAUCGAAUCUUUGAACGCACAUUGCGCCCCUUGGUAUUCCGAGGGGCAUGCCUGUUCGAGCGUCAUUAUAACCCCUCAAGCUCAGCUUGGUGUUGGGGCCUGCUCCACUGGCAGCCCUUAAAAUCAGUGGCGGCGCCAUCUGGCUCUAAGCGUAGUAAUUCUUCUCGCUAUGGAGUCCUGGUGGAUGCUUGCCAUCAACCCCCAAUUUUUCUAUGGUUGACCUCGGAUCAGGUAGGGAUACCCGCUGAACUUAAGCAUAUCAAUAAGCGGAGGA